UACGUAGGGGGCAAGCGUUGUCCGGAAUCAUUGGGCGUAAAGAGCGUGUAGGCGGCCUCGUAAGUCUGCUGUGAAAGUCCAAGGCUCAACCUUGGGAUGUCAGUGGAUACUGUGAGGCUCGAGUCCGGAAGAGGCGGGUGGAAUUCCUGGUGUAGCGGUGAAAUGCGCAGAUAUCAGGAGGAACACCAAUGGCGAAGGCAGCCCGCUGGGACGUGACUGACGCUGAGACGCGAAAGCGUGGGGAGCAAACAGG
rnacentral:rRNA from 1 species